rnacentral:rRNA from 1 species
UGAGCGGAGAUAUAUGGAGCUUGCUUUAUAUAACUUAGCAGCGAACGGGUGAGUAACACGUAGAUAAUCUAUCCUAUACUGGGGGAUAGCCCGAUGAAAGUUGGAUUAAUACCGCAUAUAGCUAUAUAGUUGCAUGAUUAUGUAGUGAAAGAUUUAUUGGUAUAGGAGGAGUCUGCGGCACAUUAGCUAGUAGGUGAGGUAAAGGCUUACCUAGGCGACGAUGUGUAGCCGGUCUGAGAGGAUGAACGGCCACAAUGGAACUGAGACACGGUCCAUACUCCUACGGGAGGCAGCAGUGGGGAAUAUUGCACAAUGGGGGAAACCCUGAUGCAGCAACGCCGCGUGAGUGAAGAAGGUUUUCGGAUUGUAAAGCUCUGUUAGCAGGGAAGAGGAAGGACGGUACCUGCAGAGGAAGCCACGGCUAACUACGUGCCAGCAGCCGCGGUAAUACGUAGGUGGCAAGCGUUGUUCGGAAUAACUGGGCGUAAAGGAUGCGUAGGCGGUUAAACAAGUUAUAUGUUAAAUAUACAGGCUUAACCUGUAGAAAGCAUAUAAAACUGUUUAACUAGAGUGCAGGAGAGGUAAGUGGAAUUCCUAGUGUAGCGGUGAAAUGCGUAGAGAUUAGGAAGAACACCAGUGGCGAAGGCGACUUACUGGACUGUAACUGACGCUGAGGCAUGAGAGCAUGGGGAGCAAACAGGAUUAGAUACCCUGGUAGUCCAUGCUGUAAACGAUGGGUACUAGGUGUGGGUUGUGAAUAACAAUUCGUGCCGUCGCAAACGCAAUAAGUACCCCG